rnacentral:tRNA from 1 species
GUACCUGUAUAGCACAGUUGAUUGAGCAUUUGCCUGCCACCUAAAAGGUUGCUGGUUCAACUCCAGCUGGGGACA